UCGAGAGUUUGAUCCUGGCUCAGGAUGAACGCUAGCGGCAGGCUUAACACAUGCAAGUCGAGGGGUAUAGUUCUUUGGAGCUAGAGACCGGCGCACGGGUGCGUAACGCGUAUGCAAUCUACCUUUUACAGAGGGAUAGCCCAGAGAAAUUUGGAUUAAUACCUCAUAGUAUGUGAGAAUCGCAUGGUUUUCACAUUAAAGUUCCAACGGUAAAAGAUGAGCAUUCGUCCCAUUAGCUAGAUGGUAAGGUAACGGCUUACCAUGGCAACGAUGGGUAGGGGUCCUGAGAGGG
rnacentral:rRNA from 1 species